rnacentral:rRNA from 1 species
GGAAUCUUCCACAAUGGACGAAAGUCUGAUGGAGCAACGCCGCGUGAGUGAUGAAGGUUUUCGGAUCGUAAAACUCUGUUGUAAGGGAAGAACAAGUACGUUAGGAAAUGAACGUACCUGGACGGUACCUUAUUAGAAAGCCACGGCUAACUACGUGCCAGCAGCCGCGGUAAUACGUAGGUGGCAAGCGUUGUCCGGAUUUAUUGGGCGUAAAGCGCGCGCAGGUGGUUUCUUAAGUCUGAUGUGAAAGCCCACGGCUCAACCGUGGAGGGUCAUUGGAAACUGGGGAACUUGAGUGCAGAAGAGGAUAGUGGAAUUCCAAGUGUAGCGGUGAAAUGCGUAGAGAUUUGGAGGAACACCAGUGGCGAAGGCGACUGUCUGGUCUGUAACUGACACUGAGGCGCGAAAGCGUGGGGAGCAAA